UACGGGGGGGGCAAGCGUUGUUCGGAAUUACUGGGCGUAAAGGGCUCGUAGGUGGCCAACUAAGUCAGACGUGAAAUCCCUCGGCUUAACCGGGGAAUGGCGUCUGAUACUGGAUGGCUUGAGUCCGGGAGAGGGAUGCGGAAUUCCAGGUGUAGCAGUGAAAUGCGUAGAUAUCUGGAGGAACACCGGUGGCGAAGGCGGCAUCCUGGACCGAGACUGACACUGAGGAGCGAAAGCCAGGGGAGCAAACGGG
rnacentral:rRNA from 1 species